GACGAACGCUGGCGGCGUGCUUAAUACAUGCAAGUCAACUGAACUUAAGGUAGUAAUACUUUAAGGGAGGUGGCGCACGGGUGAGUAACACGUAGGUAAUCUGCCUUUAGGUCUGACAUAAUUCCGCGAAAGCGGGACUAACUUCAGAUGAUGCAGCGGCUCGACAUCGAGACAGUUGUUAAAUCUUCGGAGCCUAAAGAUGAGCCUGCGUCUGAUUAGGUAGUGGCGGAGUAAAAGCCCACCAAGCCUGCGAUCAGUAGCUGGUCUGAGAGGAUGAUCAGCCACACUGGAACUGAGACACGGUCCAGACUCCUACGGGAGGCAGCAGUAAGGAAUAUUGCUCAAUGCGAAAGGCUGAAGCAGCAACGCCGCGUGGAGGAUGAAAUACUUUUGUAUGUAAACU
rnacentral:rRNA from 1 species